rnacentral:rRNA from 1 species
GACGAACGCUGGCGGCAUGCUUAACACAUGCAAGUCGAACGAAGAGCGCCGGAAGCUUGCUUCUAUCAUUCUUAGUGGCGGACGGGUGAGUAACGCGUAAUCAACCUGCCCUUCAGAGGGGGACAACAGUUGGAAACGACUGCUAAUACCGCAUACGAUCUAACUUCGGCAUCGAGGAUAGAUGAAAGGUGGCCUCUACAUGUAAGCGAUCACUGAAGGAGGGGAUUGCGUCUGAUUAGCUAGGUGGAGGGGUAACGGCCCACCAAGGCGAUGAUCAGUAGCCGGCCUGAGAGGAUGAACUGCCACGCUGGGACUGAGACACGGCCCACACUCCUACGAGUGGCAGCAGUGGGGAAUCUUCCGGAAUGGACGCAAUGCGGACGGAGCAACGCCGCGUGAGUGAUGACUGCCUUCGGGUCGUAUGGCUGUGUAAGUCGUGACGAAAGUACUUCUCGCGAAUAGGGAGAAGGAUUGACGGUACCGGAAGAGAAAGCCACGGCUAACUACGUG